rnacentral:lncRNA from 1 species
AUGAGUGAUUUUGAUGAAUGGAUUUCUGGGAAACACAGAAAAAUGGAAGAAGGUCCUCUCCCUCUGUUGACUUUUACUACGGCUCCCUACUAUGACCAGAAACCAGGAACUAGUGGAUUACGGAAGAAAACCUACUAUUUCGAGGAAAAACCAUGCUAUCUGGAGAAUUUCAUCCAGAGUAUAUUCUUUUCCAUAGACCUAAAAGAUCGCCAGGGAGCCUCACUGGUGGUUGGUGGAGAUGGGCGGUAUUUUAAUAAAUCGGCAAUAGAGACAAUAGUGCAGAUGGCAGCUGCCAAUGGGAUUGGUCGCUUGGUUAUUGGACAGAAUGGGAUCCUCUCCACGCCUGCUGUAUCAUGCAUCAUUAGAAAGAUCAAAGCCAUCGGUGGGAUCAUUCUGACAGCCAGCCACAACCCAGGAGGACCCAAUGGAGAUUUUGGAAUCAAGUUCAAUAUUUCCAAUGGAGGUCCUGCCCCGGAAGCAAUAACUGAUAAAAUUUUCCAAAUCAGCAAGACAAUCGAAGAAUAUGCAAUUUGCCCUGACCUGCACGUAGACCUUGGGGUUCUGGGAAAGCAGCAGUUUGACCUGGAAAACAAGUUCAAACCCUUCACAGUGGAAAUUGUGGAUUCAGUGGAAGCUUAUGCUACAAUGCUGAGAAAUAUCUUUGAUUUCAACGCGCUGAAAGAACUGCUUUCUGGUCCAAACCGACUAAAGAUCCGUAUAGACGCCAUGCACGGAGUCGUGGGACCAUAUGUGAAAAAAAUCCUCUGUGAAGAACUCGGCGCCCCUGCGAACUCGGCAGUGAACUGCGUUCCCCUGGAGGACUUCGGAGGCCACCACCCUGACCCCAACCUCACCUACGCAGCUGACCUGGUGGAGACUAUGAAGACAGGGGAGCAUGAUUUUGGGGCUGCCUUUGAUGGAGAUGGGGAUCGGAACAUGAUUCUGGGCAAGCACGGGUUCUUCGUGAACCCUUCAGACUCUGUGGCUGUCAUUGCUGCCAACAUCUUCAGCAUUCCAUACUUCCAGCAAACUGGGGUCCGUGGCUUCGCACGCAGCAUGCCCACCAGUGGUGCCCUGGACCGGGUGGCUAAUGCUACAAAGAUCGCUUUGUAUGAGACCCCAACUGGCUGGAAGUUUUUUGGGAAUCUGAUGGAUGCAAGCAAACUAUCCCUUUGUGGGGAAGAGAGCUUCGGGACUGGUUCUGACCACAUCCGUGAGAAAGAUGGUCUCUGGGCUGUCCUUGCUUGGCUCUCCAUUCUAGCCACCCGCAAACAGAGUGUGGAGGACAUUCUUAAAGAUCACUGGCAAAAGUAUGGGCGGAAUUUCUUCACCAGGUAUGAUUAUGAGGAGGUGGAAGCCGAGGGCGCAAACAAAAUGAUGAAGGAGUUGGAGGCCCUGAUUUCUGAUCGCUCCUUCGUGGGGAAACAGUUUCCAGUGGGUGACAAAGUUUACACCGUGGAAAAAAUUGAUAACUUUGAGUACAGCGAUCCGGUGGAUGGAAGCAUUUCAAGAAAUCAGGGCUUGCGGCUCCUUUUUGCAGACGGUUCUCGCAUCAUCUUUCGACUGAGCGGCACUGGGAGCGCGGGCGCCACCAUCCGACUGUACAUCGACAGCUACGAGAAGGAUCUCGCCAAGAUCUACCAGGACCCCCAGGUCAUGUUGGCCCCCCUAAUUUCCAUUGCCCUGAAGGUGUCCCAGCUCCAGGAAAAGACGGGACGCACUGCACCCACUGUUAUCACCUAAGAAGACAGGCCAGAUGUGGUACGUCCCUCCACCCCAGGCCCUCCAAGUCAUCUGAUUGAA